rnacentral:rRNA from 1 species
UACGUAGGCGGAAAAUUAAGUCAGUAGUGAAAUCCUGCAGCUUAACUGUAGAACUGUUAUUGAUACUGGUUUUCUUGAAUAUAGUUGAGGUAGGCGGAAUGUGUAAUGUAGCGGUGAAAUGCUUAGAUAUUACACAGAACACCGAUUGCGAAGGCAGCUUACUAAGCUAUGAUUGACGCUGAGGUACGAAAGCGUGGGAAGCGAACAGGAUUAGAUACCCUGGUAGUC